rnacentral:rRNA from 1 species
UGGGGAAUAUUGGGCAAUGGGCGAAAGCCUGACCCAGCAACGCCGCGUGAGUGAAGAAGGCUUUCGGGUUGUAAAGCUCUGUCCUAGGGGACGAAGGAAGUGACGGUACCCUGGGAGGAAGCCCCGGCUAACUACGUGCCAGCAGCCGCGGUAAUACGUAGGGGGCGAGCGUUGUCCGGAAUGACUGGGCGUAAAGGGCGUGUAGGCGGCCGAUUAAGUAUGGAGUGAAAGUCCUGCUUUCAAGGUGGGAAUUGCUUUGUAGACUGGUUGGCUUGAGUGCGGAAGAGGUAAGUGGAAUUCCCAGUGUAGCGGUGAAAUGCGUAGAGAUUGGGAGGAACACCAGUGGCGAAGGCGACUUACUGGGCCGUAACUGACGCUGAGGCGCGAAAGCGUGGGGAGCGAACAGGAUUAGAUACCCUGGUAGUCCACGCUGUAAACGAUGAAUGCUAGGUGUUGCGGGUAUCGACCCCUGCAGUGCCGGAGUAAACGCAAUAAGCAUUCCGCCUGGGGAGUACGGCCGCAAGGUUGAAACUCAAAGGAAUUGACGGGGGCCCGCACAAGCAGCGGAGCAUGUGGUUUAAUUCGAAGCAACGCGAAGAACCUUACCAGGUCUUGACAUCCGUGUAAAGCCGCAGAGAUGCGGUGUGAGCUUGCUCAAUACGAGACAGGUGGUGCAUGGUUGUCGUCAGCUCGUGUCGUGAGAUGUUGGGUUAAGUCCCGCAACGAGCGCAACCCUUAUCGUCCGUUACUAACAGGUAGCGCUGAGGACUCAGACGAGACCGCCGGGGACAACUCGGAGGAAGGUGGGGACGACGUCAAAUCAUCAUGCCCCUUACGACCUGGGCUACACACGUGCUACAAUGGGUACAACAAAGAGACGCGAGACCGCAAGGUGGAGCCAAACUCAGAAAAGUACUCUCAGUUCAGAUUGUGGGCUGCAACCCGCCCACAUGAAGUUGGAGUUGCUAGUAAUCGCGGAUCAGCAUGCCGCGGUGAAUACGUUCCC